rnacentral:rRNA from 1 species
GACGAACGCUGGCGGCGUGCUUAACACAUGCAAGUCGAACGAAGCUUGAUUACGGAUUCUUCGGAUGAAGUAUGAUAUGACUGAGUGGCGGACGGGUGAGUAACGCGUGAGUAACCUGCCCUUCAGAGGGGGAUAGCGUUUGGAAACGAACGGUAAUACCGCAUAAUGUAUUUUGACCGCAUGAUCGAAAUACCAAAGAUUUAUCGCUGAAGGAUGGACUCGCGUCUGAUUAGGUAGUUGGUGGGGUAACGGCCUACCAAGCCGACGAUCAGUAGCCGGACUGAGAGGUUGAUCGGCCACAUUGGGACUGAGACACGGCCCAGACUCCUACGGGAGACAGCAGUGGGGAAUAUUGCACAAUGGGCGCAAGCCUGAUGCAGCAACGCCGCGUGAAGGAAGACGGUUUUCGGAUUGUAAACUUCUGUUCUUAGGGAAGAAUAAUGACGGUAGCUAAGGAGCAAGCCACGGCUAACUACGUG